UGGGGAAUAUUGCACAAUGGAGGGAACUCUGAUGCAGCGACGCCGCGUGAACGAAGAAGGCUUUCGAGUCGUAAAGUUCUUUUAUAUGGGAAGAUAAUGACGGUACCAUAAGAAAAAGCCCCGGCUAACUACGUGCCAGCAGCCGCGGUAAUACGUAGGGGGCUAGCGUUGUCCGGAAUCACUGGGCGUAAAGGGUUCGCAGGCGGAAAUGCAAGUCAGGUGUAAAAGGCAGUAGCUUAACUACUGUAAGCAUUUGAAACUGCAUAUCUUGAGAAGAGUAGAGGUAAGUGGAAUUGUUAGUGUAGCGGUGAAAUGCGUAGAUAUUAAAAAGAAUACCGGUGGCGAAGGCGACUUACUGGGCUCAGUCUGACGCUGAGGAGCGAAAGCGUGGGUAGCAAACAGG
rnacentral:rRNA from 1 species